rnacentral:misc_RNA from 1 species
AAGUCGUAACAAGGUUUCCGUAGGUGAACCUGCGGAAGGAUCAUUAAUGAAUAAACUUGGUGGACUGUUGCUGGCUCCUCUGGGGGUAUGUGCACGUCCGUCAUCUUUAUCUUUCCACCUGUGCACUUUGUGUAGAACUUGGUAGACUUGAAAGCUUUCCGAGGCAACUCGGUUGUGAGGAGUUGCAGGCCCCAAGGGUCAGCUCUCCUUGAAGGUCACCGAGGCUCUAUGUUUUUCAUAUACACCUAAUGAAAUAUAAAUGAAUGUAAUCAAUGGGUCUUUGCACCUAUGUAAAGUUUAUACAACUUUCAGCAACGGAUCUCUUGGCUCUC